CCUGUUUCUAGAAAAGAUCAGGAUCGAUGGCUGCUGAUGGGGCUAAUUGGAACAGCAGUGAGGUUGCUGGGUUUUUGAUUCAGCAGAUAAUUAUGUCUCUCAUCAAACUGAAAUGGAACCUGGUGGAAAAUUACCUGCAGAUGAGCAAGAGGAAGUCAGAGUGACAUUUUCUGUGUUAGUUUAUUAGAAAAUGCACAGUGUCAAGUUUUAACUGCCUGAAGGUGCUGCCUGUGGAGGGAUUUGCGUGGAAGGAUCCCAGAGGAGAUCGUCCUGGAGAGAACCGGGGUACAAGAGGACCACUCACUCAUCCAUGAUGAGGAACCAUCCAUUCCAAUGAGCAAAUCAAGCAAAAUCAUGGAUUUACACUGGACAACAACUUUCUAUGAUGACAUGA